UUUCGCCACUGCUGGCGUCUGUCCGCGUGGGGACGCCUUUGCCCUGCCUUUCUGAGUUGGCCGGGCCCAGGGGUGGGGAGUUCCAGGAGCACUGGGAUAAUCAAGCAAAAGAAAGAUGAGCUUCGUCUAUGGAUUGCAGUCUGCUACUAGAAACUGUGUUUCCUUCCGAUUUAAUUUACUGACCAACUGGAGAAAAUGUAACACAACAGCUAUAACCUCACUGGACUGUCAUCAAGUACAACUUAACCACAUAGUAAAUAAUAUUGAAGGCAAACUGGGAGUAAAUCGGUGUAAUAGGGUGACUUCUCUGCCUGGAAACUCACAUUUCUAUAGAACUUUUAAUAACAAAAGGGCAGGAUACCUCUUUUGUCUUAAAAGCAAGGACAAUACAUGUACAGCAUGGCGUGACUCUUUUCCAAGACAGAAACUGAUAGAAGAAGUUGCAGUAGGUCCCGCUCUUUCAGUAUUGCAUCCUCUAAACUGCUUUCCCAUAAGAGACAUCAGGAGUUUCCACACUUCUCCACGGUGGCAAGCUGCUCCCAUCCCUCUCUUGUGGAUAAUUCUUAAACCAGUGCAGAAACUACUUGCAAUCAUUGUUGGCAGGGGCAUAAGGAAAUGGUGGCACGCACUUCCUCCCAACAAGAAGGAACACUUUAAAGAAAGUGUAAGGAAGAACAAAUGGAAGUUACUCCUGGGGUUGAGUACUUUUGGAUUUCUCUUCGUAGUGUUUUAUUUCACUCACCUGGAAGUGAGUCCAAUCACAGGAAGGACCAAGCUACUGCUGUUGGGGAAAGAACAUUUCAGUCUUUUAGCAGAACUGGAAUAUGAAGCAUACAUGGAAGAAUUUAAAAAUGAUUUUCUAACUGAGAAAGAUGCCCAGUACCUGAACAUUAAAGAAGUGUUUUAUCAUUUAAUUGAAUGCAAUAAAGAUAUCCCAGGGAUCUCCGAGAUCAAGUGGAUCAUUCAUGUGGUUGAUUCCCCAGAUAUAAAUGCCUUUGUGCUUCCGAAUGGACAUGUGUUUGUCUUCACUGGGCUUUUCAAUGCUGUGGCUAAUGUGCACCAACUUGCCUUCAUUCUGGGCCAUGAAAUAGCACAUGCAGUACUUGAGCAUGCUGCAGAAAAGGCCAGCGUGGUUCAUUUAUUGGAUUUCCUAGGUCUAAUUUUCCUCACAAUGAUUUGGGCCGUUUGUCCUCGAGAUAGCUUGGCAAUUGUGGGCCAGUGGUUGCAGUCUACAUUGAAAGAGUAUUUGUUCAGUAGACCAUACAGUAGAACACUGGAGGCUGAAGCUGACAAAAUUGGACUACGGCUUGCUGCAAAGGCUUGUGUGGACGUCAGAUCCAGUUCGGUGUUUUGGCAGCAGCUGGAACUUGCAGAUACCCUCUCUGGUCACCCCAACGUGCCAGAAUGGUUAUCCACACACCCUUCUCAUGGAAACCGAGUUGAGCAGUUGGAUAGACUCAUACCCGAGGCUCUCAAAAUUAGAGAGACCUGCAAUUGCCCACCACUUUCUGAACCAGACCCUCGAUUAGUGUUCAAACUCGCCAUGAAGGAUUUUCUUAAAGAAUCAGAGAAAAAGGACCUAAAUACCACUGCUGAGAAACAGAAAGUGGAUCCUCUUCCCAUUGGAAAACAGAAGCAAACAUCAGGAGCAUAAAUAAUUGAGAAAGAACUAGCAGUUGAAUUGAAAUAUGUGAGACAACGGAUAUAUGAAGAAUAUAGCAAUCCUUAUCACUUUACGUUACUUUUAGAAAAAUGUUUGAAAUGAAAAAAAUGAUAUUCACAGUCAAAUCAUGUAUAUUACAGAUGAUGUCAAGAUGGCUGUGGGCAGCUCCUGACGUAUGUGAUUCCUUCACAUCCAGGUGGGAGGAGUGACUCACCUGGGCACUAUUGAAACAAAGCCUUCAACACCACCUGCACCCUCUGAGGAGCACCCCAGGAGCCACCGCAGGGUGGGGAUGGGAUUAUGCUGAGGAUGGGUACAG